rnacentral:rRNA from 1 species
CCAAUAGCGUAUAUUAAAGUUGUUGCAGUUAAAAAGCUCGUAGUUGAACUUCGGGGUUUGCUCAUUGGUCAGGCUUAAUUGUCUGUACUGGUGGGAUAAAUCUCUACCUUCUGAGGAACUUUCAUGCCAUUUAUUUGGUGUGAUGGGAAAUCAGGACUGUUACUUUGAAAAAAUUAGAGUGUUUAAAGCAGACUAACGUCUGAAUACAUUAGCAUGGAAUAAUGAAAUAGGACGGAUUGAUUCUAUUUCGUUGGUUUCUAGGAUCACCGUAAUGAUUAAUAGGGAUAGUUGGGGGCAUUAGUAUUCAAUUGUCAGAGGUGAAAUUCUUGGAUUUAUUGAAGACUAACUACUGCGAAAGCAUUUGCCAAGGAUGUUUUCAUUAAUCAAGAACGAAAGUUAGGGGAUCGAAGACGAUCAGAUACCGUCGUAGUCUUAACCAUAAACUAUGCCGACUAGGGAUCGGACGAAGUUAAUUUUAUAAUGACGCGUUCGGCACCUUACG